rnacentral:lncRNA from 1 species
GUUUGUCCUUCACUUUAAGCCUCAUCUAUAUUUCUUCUCUGUUUAUGUUGAAUUUUCUUUGUUACAUUAAAAAUCUCUUAAGUGUCUCUAAUUCAUAUGUCAGGGAUUCAAGAUUCCAAACACAUUGCUUAGCUGCAACAGAAACCCAUGUCAUUGAUUGCAUUUAUCUCACUGCUGCUUGUAUAGUGAGUCAAUACCAUCCUAGCCACCUUCAAUGUCUCCCCAGCACCAGCAAGGAGAACCACCUUACCAUUUCCAGUGAAGCUAUUAUAUUUUAUAUCUAGUCACCUCCUUUCCUCUUCCUGUGUUUAUACCAUGGUAGGUCAUCUGUCAGGUGAACAGUUGGGCUUCCUAAGGCUUCUCCUGGGAAGAAAUGAUUGAUAUGAUGAGUGAGUUGUUAACGUGUCCCCUUUUUCCUUUUCUCUUUGGAAUCUGCCCACUCUCAGAAAGCACAGUUGGCGCCACCCUGCUACUCAGCAGUGAGGAGGGAGCAAGUCUUAGGGCUUCUAGCUUGGUUUAUGGCUGAAUGGGGUAGUCAUCGCCUGCUGUGCCACCAGAGCUGGAAGCCCGAUUUUGUCAUGCAGAUAAGCCACAUUCUUCUACAGCUUUAUUGGUAACAAAGAUAACAUAUUGAUGUCCAUUUGCCAAACACCCUUGUCCUUCAAAGAUGGUUCAAAAUGACAUGGAUAUUUAGAUGGGAUGUCCACCAUAAUUAUUUUUUUGCUGAGCUUCAAGAAUAUUCUUUUGUUUGUCAGUGAUACAUAAUUAGAGAAUAUGAGGAAUCACGGUUUCAUAUGUUAUGUCUCGACUGCCAUGAAUGAGACAGUGUGAAGAACAGAAACCAAUGCAAUGAACAGCCCUGGAAGCCGCCAGCGAUGGCUUGUCUGACAACAGAAAGAGGCAGGUUUCUCUCCUGAGCCUUGCACAGACGAUGCUGGCCCAAAUCCUUCCUGAUAAACAUCAAAUGGAGACAACCAGCUACAAGCAAUUCCUCCAACAACAGAAUAAAUAUUGGCACACCAAGAAAUAAUCUACUGAUGGGAAUAGAGGCCCUGAAAAUCAUCCCACAGUGAGUCAAUCCCAAGUUCAGCAGCAAAUCCUCAUUUUGACAGAAUCAGGAAGAUGUUGAAGAGGAACUCAAUCAGCUACUGAUGACUCCACUGAUUAUGGGCUUUCUCAAGCUGCCUUUAUGAAGAACAGGAAGACAAGAUGGUCGGCUCUUAUCCCUGAAGAGGAACUUGAUCCUGAUGGAAACAUCCUAAUGGAAAAUGUGGGUUGGGAUGGGAGCCCGUGAUGAAGUGGCAGCUUGGCCUCACCACAAGUCAUUCCAGUGACAUGCGUCACAGUGCCUUCCAGCUCCAAAUUUUCAGAAAUAGUUUUGCAUAUGGAAAAAUAUGAGGUGACAUAAAAUGGUAACAAAGGUUCUACAUUUCUAUUGACUCUUCAACCACAUGUCAAUUAGGGCCAAUAUUUAGAACAUACUGGAUCUUCUGAAAGCGUGAGAAAGGAAGGUGCAUUUCCUUGCUCUCCUUGCAAAAUAUACAUAGCUACGCAUUUGAUUUUUAUUGGGAAUGUAAUCAACAGAAUAUUUUAAUAAAAAAUGUGAAAGCAGGCAGAAAAUUUUCAUAUACAACAUAUAUAUAUAAUAUAUAUAUGUAGAAAAUGUACUUUAUUAUCAGCCAUUUCAAUUACCAUGGACUCUAAAUGUUAUGAGUUUAAUUAAAUAAAGAUGAGUUUUAAAAAUAAAGAAAUGUACACAUUCAGCAU